GGAGGAGUGCCGGAGCGGUCCAACGGGACAGGUUGCUAACCUGUGACGGUCAAAAGCCGUCCGUGGGUUCAAAUCCCACCUCCUCCG
rnacentral:tRNA from 1 species